rnacentral:rRNA from 1 species
UACGUAGGGGGCAAGCGUUGUCCGGAAUUAUUGGGCGUAAAGAGCGUGUAGGCGGCCAGAUAAGUCCGCUGUGAAAUCUCGAGGCUCAACUUCGAGCUGUCGGUGGAAACUAUCUGGCUAGAGUCCGGAAGAGGAGAAUGGAAUUCCUGGUGUAGCGGUGGAAUGCGCAGAUAUCAGGAGGAACACCGGUGGCGAAGGCGGGUCUCUGGGCAGUAACUGACGCUGAGGAGCGAAAGCGUGGGGAGCGAACAGG